UCCUGUCUGCCCCGGGUACCGGGUGCUGCAGAAACAGCUUCCUUGCUCCCUGCUAAGCUGCAUCCUGGCCUUGGUCAGACAACAGAGGAGUCAGGUGGAGCUGGGAUAGAAGCACAGACCUUUGGGUUCCACAGCCGAGACUGCACCGAUCGCGAGCUGGACUUCCCAUGAGGCUCUAGCUAAACUGGGCCCACAUUCCUACAGGGCAACUCCCGGGCUGAAACGGAGGGGAAAGGUCCCCCUGUUUAGAGCAGAAAUAUGUUCUCUUGCCCACUAAUGUUACUUGCCUGGACUUGUUGGUUUUCAGUAAGAACAAUAGCCGAAAAGAAUGGCAAGUAUUGAGGUAUUUACUAACAAGCACUUAAUCUCCUUCAUCUUACUUUAUCCACCCAAGAACUAUUUCAGGGUAGGACCACACAUUGCCCUAUUUUACAGCUAAGAAAACCCAGGCUCAGUGGGAUAAAGUGACUUGCUCAAGGUCACAGAGCUGGGGAGCAGUAAAGCCACAAGAAUCCAACCCCCACCUUCGCCACCCCCCCCACAGCCCUUCUUUGCCACAGUGGUGGGGGAGGGGCAGGCUCACAGAGUCUCUUCCCUGUCUCCCUCAGAAGGUACCAACUCUGAAUGUGACCAAAUGCUCCGGUCCAAAGAGGAGGCCAACUCUCUUAGGAAUCUUCCUGCUAAGAGCAAAAAGACCACAGGCAACAGGAUCUAGAAUCAUCCAAUGUGACCUGGACUGGAGCAGUGGUGUCAGAACCAUGCAGCGGAGUCAGGCUCCUUCCCCAAGGGGCUUUGGAAGCUUGGGUAGCUAUGUGGGGGACAAGCGUGGACAAAGAUACCACGAUUCUGUGGUCAGAAAUUUGGAAAGGGCCCAGUGGGAACCACUUGUCUCUGUUCCCUGAUAACUGGGGCCUCACCUGCAAAGACCUGAAGGCUGGUGAUUACUUCAACGGCUGGAAUCAUCCAGGGGCCUCUU